UACGGAGGGGGCAAGCGUUGUUCGGAUUUACUGGGCGUAAAGGGUCCGUAGGUGGUUGUGUAAGUCUGGUGUGAAAUCUUCGCCGCUUAACGGGAAGAAGCCACUGGAAACUGCACAACUUGAGUAUGGUAGAGGCAAGCGGAAUUCCUGGUGUAGCGGUGGAAUGUGUAGAUAGUCAGGAAGAACAUCUGUGGCGAAGGCGGCUUGCUGGGCCAUCACUGACACUGGAGGGACGAAAGCGUGGGGAGCAAACGGG
rnacentral:rRNA from 1 species